CUUCUCUGCAUUAACUUGUGGGAAGAGCUCUUAAAGCAAGUUCCCAGAAAUAUGAAACUUAGUGCUUCACAAUCUAAUGGAAUAACACCAGCAGAAACUGCUACUAAAACAGACUAAUAUGUUUAAAAGAUACACAUGCAAACAAAAAUCCUUGAAAUACCCAUGACAUCUGCAAAAACAGAAGGUGAUGAACAACAAUUACUGAAAGCCCAUCAGAAAUAUUAAUCAGAUAUGAGAGCUUGAGGAGGAUGGAAGUUGCAGCAGAGUAACACCAGACCAGAAGAUGAAGAAUCAGUCUAGUAUUACUUUCAGAAGAUUUCAGAACGUCUACUCAGCUUUGCCUGAAUGACUGUUACAUAGCUUCAAAAGUCUGAAGAUUGAUUACAUAUCCAACUGAUGGGUUUGCAUAACGCUGUUAGCUGAAAAGAUAUAUUGGAAAUGUGAACUGAUGAAGUAACACGAUUUUUGAAAUUGCAGAUAGCAAGAAACUGCUGGUUAUCAACAACAUCAGGUGCUGCAGGUCUGUCCCACUAGCGAGAUGUUCGAUAUUGAUGGAGCUGGACUUCUGCCAGCCAGCAAAGAAGGCAUCAGAGGCAUUGCCUGAUCCAACAGAUGGUGUGGGUGAUAGACUCUGAAGUCACAAGGCCCUGUUGGACAUUGAUAAUAUAGAAUACUGCAAAUCUGAGUCACCAGUUCAUUGGUGAAUCCGACUGUGGGGGAACUGUGUGGCCUUGGUUUUGGGUCUGACUAGGCCCUCACGCCUUGGGGUCACCCGUUGUGGCUGCCGAGGAAGGAGACGUCGGAGCUGGCUGGGUGCCAUUGGAUUCCGUACUGUGUUGGGGGUGAGCUCCUCCCAUCAGUGUCGCCAUCCAGUAUUCACUUGGUGGAAGACAAGCUGGAUUGUGUUUCAUCUGCAGCUGCACUUGCAUGACAUCAGGAGUGCUGCGGGCUUGUUCUUGCAGAACUGUGGCUCCCGGACAACACCCAUGCACCAUCCAUCUACAGGCCAUGACACUCAGGGACCUGGGUUAUAUUAUUACAUAUGUUUUUAACUGUAUAUUCUUUUUGCUAUCAUAAUUAUAUGUGUUGUGUGUGACUUUUGGUACUGUGUUUUGUACCUUGGCCCCCGAGAAACACUGUUUUGUUUGACUGUAUUCAUGUGUAUAGUUGAAUGACAAUUAAAUUUGAACUUUAAAUUGAACUUCAGAAAUAGCUCUGUCAAUUGGGGAUGGUUGGGCCUGGCCUUGGGCCUCUCUGCUUGGAAACUAACCAAAGUCACUGAGAGCCCCAAGGGUAAUAUCUAACCCUUAAUGGAGUAGUUCUUGUAUCAAUGCACAGUUCAAUAUUAGUUUUUGACUUUUAGCUCUUGGGCAAUUGUGAAAUAAUAAUUUGCAUGAAUGAAAGAAAUUGUGUUUCUUUGCACUUACUGUGAAUACCUGCAAUGAAAGUGAAU